CCUAUUUUGCAGAAUAUGAGAGUCACUAACAUUCAAUCUUAAACGGAUCUAUCGACCGAUACAUCAUGAGCCUUCCAAACAUUCUUAUUUUGCUGGCGAUUAUAGUGGAAGGCUGUCCCAAGUGCACGAGUUUUAUUAAGUACGACCAGCCAGAAUAAAUGUUGUUUCUCCAGUGCAUUCACUGCUGAUUAAAUUUGUGUAAAUCAAUUGCGGCGUUGGCAGCUAAAAUGGCCUCUUUAGAAAGUCAUUUGGCUGUCGAAAAUAUAAAUGGGAAUUGAA